UCUUGUGGAUGAGCAAAGAAAGUGGUUUCUUGAGAUGGAACAUACUCCCAGUGAAGAUGCUAUGAA
rnacentral:pre_miRNA from 1 species